UGGGGAAUAUUGGGCAAUGGGCGCAAGCCUGACCCAGCAACGCCGCGUGAAGGAAGAAGGCUUUCGGGUUGUAAACUUCUUUUCUUGGGGACGAAGGAAGUGACGGUACCCAAGGAAUAAGCCACGGCUAACUACGUGCCAGCAGCCGCGGUAAUACGUAGGUGGCAAGCGUUAUCCGGAUUUAUUGGGUGUAAAGGGCGUGUAGGCGGGAAUGCAAGUCAGAUGUGAAACUAUGGGCUCAACCCAUAGCCUGCAUUUUGAAACUGCAUUUCUUGAGUGCUGGAGAGGCAAUCGGAAUUCCGUGUGUAGCGGUGAAAUGCGUAGAUAUACGGAGGAACACCAGUGGCGAAGGCGGAUUGCUGGACAGUAACUGACGCUGAGGCUCGAAAGCAUGGGUAGCAAACAGGAUUAGAUACC
rnacentral:rRNA from 1 species